CAGAUGGAAACUUCAUUACAGAAAGCAAUGAAGAACACCCAAGUGGUAAAUAUGUGUAGACCAGACCCAUGACUUGCUCCUAAACAACAGAAUAUGACAAAUGGAAUGGCACGUCACUCCCAUGAUUAUGUGAUGUUAUAUGACUGUGUCUUGCUAGCUGGCUGGCUCCACAGACGUUCUCUCUCCCUUGCUGGCUGUGAAGAAGCAAGCUGCCAGAACUCCUAAAGCCACAUGGAGCUCAUUGCUGCCAAAAGGAAUUGGGAAGCAAAUCCUUCCCUAGCUGAGCCUCCAGUUGAGAGCCAGUCCUGGCCAACACCUUGAAUGUAGCCUUGUAAGACCUUCUGAGGAGGACCAAGCUAUGCCGUAUCCAGAUGUGUGACCUGCAGAAACUCUGAGAGCCUUUGAUGGGAAUUCAGCCCAGCUGACACCUUGAUGUCCACCUUGUGAUACCUUGGGAAGAAUCCCUGCCCCACCAUGCUGAACUUUUGAUCUACAAAACUGUGAGCUAAUAAAUGGAUGUUGUUUUAAGCAGCUAAGUUUGUGGUAAUGUGUUACACAGCAAUAGAAAACUAACAUACAUGGUUAUCUAUAUUAUUGUAGCUAUAUCUUUUACAUAUGCUGUAAAAAUUCUUUAGUGUGAUUUUAUUUUCUAAUAAACUUUUUCUUAAAAAAAAGAGAAAGCCAGAAAAUAAGUCUCUUGACUUCAGUGGGCCUUCUGAAUAGUGCAGGUGUAAAAAGGGGGAACGGAGGGAGUAUGAAAAGAAUGUAAAGAUUUGCCAUGCUCAAUAAUGAUGAUAUGCAUUCAAGACAUAUCAUGAGUUAUGGGUCAUGCCCAAAGCCUUUUAAUAAUAUGCCUUUUAUUAGAUGACAUAAAGUUACCAGCAAAGAUUAUAACAUUGAGCCAAGAAUGCAUACUAGUAUUUAUGGAGGCCCAGAAUUUGGAAAAUGAUUCAGUCCUGUUUAUUCUAUGUAAUGAUGUUAUUUUUGUACUAAACAUGAGGGUUGUAAAGGGAUUCUAUAUGUUAGUUUAAAUGUGUAAAUAUUUCUCUUAUAGCAUCCU
rnacentral:lncRNA from 10 species